rnacentral:rRNA from 1 species
GACGUAGGGCGCGAGCGUUGUCCGGAUUUAUUGGGCGUAAAGAGACUCGUAGGCGGCUUGUCGCGCGGCUGUGAAUCCCGAUGGCUCAACUGCGGGUCUGCAGCCGAUACGGGCAGGCUAGAGUUCGGUAGGGGAGACUGGAAUUCCUGGUGUAGCGGUGAGAUGCGCAGAUAUCAGGAGGAACACCGGUGGCGAAGGCGGGUCUCUGGGCCGAUACUGACGCUGAGGAGCGAAAGCGUGGGGAGCAAACAGG